rnacentral:rRNA from 1 species
GAUGAACGCUGGCGGCGUGCUUAACACAUGCAAGUCGAGCGAAAGGACGAUAAGCUUGCUUCUCUGAUGUUAGCGGCGGAGGGGUGUGUAACACGUGUAUACCCUACCUAUAUGAGUGGGAAAAUUUGGGAAAACGGGAUCUAAUCCCGGAUGAUAUCUUGAUCCGCAUGGUUCAAUGGUGAGAGUCGGUGGUGGUGGCUGUUAUAGAUGGAUCUGCGCUGGAUUAGCUAGUUGGUAAGGUAACGGCUUACUAAGGCUAGGAUGCAUAGCCGACCUGAGAGGGUGAUAGGCCACACUGGAACGGAGACAGGGUCCAGACGCCUACGGGAGGCAGCAGUAGGGAAUCUUCCGCAAUGGGCGAAAGCCUGACGGAGCAACGCCGCGUGAGUGAUGAAGGUCUUCGGAUCGUAAAACUCUGUUAUUAGGGAAGAACAUAUGUGUAAGUAACUGUGCACAUCUUGACGGUACCUAAUCAGAAAGCCACGGCUAACUACGUG